UACGUAGGCGGAAAAUUAAGUCAGUAGUGAAAUCCUGCAGCUUAACUGUAGAACUGUUAUUGAUACUGGUUUUCUUGAAUAUAGUUGAGGUAGGCGGAAUGUGUAAUGUAGCGGUGAAAUGCUUAGAUAUUACACAGAACAUCGAUUGCGAAGGCAGCUUACUAAGCUAUGAUUGACGCUGAGGUACGAAAGCGUGGGGAGCGAACAGGAUUAGAUACCCCGGUAGUCC
rnacentral:rRNA from 1 species